AUACGUAGGUGACAAGCGUUAUCCGGAUUUACUGGGCGUAAAGGGCGUGUAGGCGGUCUUGCAAGUCAGAAGUGAAAUUCCUGAGCUCAACUCGGGCGCUGCUUCUGAAACUGCAGGACUUGAGUGCUGGAGGGGAUAGCGGAAUUCCUAGUGGAGCGGUAAAAUGCGCAGAUAUUAGGAAGAACACCGGUGGCGAAGGCGGCUAUCUGGACAGUAACUGACGCUGAGGCGCGAAAGCGUGGGGAGCAAACAGGAUUAGAUACCCUGGUAGUCCACGCCGUAAAACGAUGAAUACUAGGUGUAGGGGGUAUCGACUCCCUCUGUGCCGCAGUUAACACAAUAAGUAUUCCGCCUGGGGAGUACGGCCGCAAGGUUGAAACUCAAAUGAAUUGGCGGGG
rnacentral:rRNA from 1 species